rnacentral:rRNA from 1 species
CCUACGGGUGGCUGCAGUGGGGAAUAUUGGACAAUGGGCGAAAGCCUGAUCCAGCCAUGCCGCGUGUGUGAAGAAGGCCUUCGGGUUGUAAAGCACUUUCAGUGGGGAAGAAAGCCUUGGGGCUAAUACCCUCGAGGAAGGACAUCACCCACAGAAGAAGCACCGGCUAACUCCGUGCCAGCAGCCGCGGUAAUACGGAGGGUGCGAGCGUUAAUCGGAAUUACUGGGCGUAAAGCGCGCGUAGGCGGUCUGAUAAGCCGGUUGUGAAAGCCCCGGGCUCAACCUGGGAACGGCAUCCGGAACUGUCAGGCUAGAGUGCAGGAGAGGAAGGUAGAAUUCCCGGUGUAGCGGUGAAAUGCGUAGAGAUCGGGAGGAAUACCAGUGGCGAAGGCGGCCUUCUGGACUGACACUGACGCUGAGGUGCGAAAGCGUGGGUAGCAAACAGGAUUAGAAACCCUAGUAGUC